rnacentral:rRNA from 1 species
AUUGAACGCUGGCGGCAGGCUUAACACAUGCAAGUCGAGCGGAGAUGAGGUGCUUGCACCUUAUCUUAGCGGCGGACGGGUGAGUAAUGCUUAGGAAUCUGCCUAUUAGUGGGGGACAACAUUCCGAAAGGAAUGCUAAUACCGCAUACGCCCUACGGGGGAAAGCAGGGGAUCUUCGGACCUUGCGCUAAUAGAUGAGCCUAAGUCGGAUUAGCUAGUUGGUGGGGUAAAGGCCGACCAAGGCGACGAUCUGUAGCGGGUCUGAGAGGAUGCUCCGCCACACGGGGACUGAGACACGGCCCAGACUCCUACGGGAGGCAGCAGUGGGGAAUAUUGGACAAUGGGCGGAAGCCUGAUCCAGCCAUGCCGCGUGUGUGAAGAAGGCCUGUUGGUUGUAAAGCACUUUAAGCGAGGAGGAGGCUACCUGGAUUAAUACUCUAGGAUAGUGGACGUUACUCGCAGAAUAAGCACCGGCUAACUCUGUGCCAGCCGCCGCAGUAAUAC